rnacentral:rRNA from 1 species
UGGGGAUAUUGCACAAUGGGCGAAAGCCUGAUGCAGCGACGCCGCGUGGGGGAUGAAGGCCUUCGGGUUGUAAACUUCUUUUGCUCUGAACAAGGCGCACCAUGGGGUGUGUUGAGUGUAGGGGUUGAUUAGCGCCGGCUAACUACGUGCCAGCAGCCGCGGUAAUACGUAGGGCGCGAGCGUUGUCCGGAUUUAUUGGGCGUAAAGGGCUUGUAGGUGGCUGGUUGCGUCUGUCGUGAAAUCUCAUGGCUUAACUGUGGGUUUGCGGUGGGUACGGGCUGGCUUGAGUGCAGUAGGGGAGGCUGGAAUUUCUGGUGUAGCGGUGGAAUGCGCAGAUAUCAGGAGGAAUACCGGUGGCGAAGGCGGGUCUCUGGGCUGUUACUGACACUGAGGAGCGAAAGCAUGGGGAGCGAACAGG